CUCUCCCACUUCAACCGGUGUCUCUCUCGCCUCCACCACUCUCUCAACACCUCCACGCUUCCCUCAACCUCGACGUCACCGCUGCCAGCAUACUCAACUCAGACCCAUCAGCAAAUUCGAAGAAUGAACUCACUAUUUGAAGCCAAAUCCCCACGCCUCGUAGAGCGCUUUUUAGACCCAGAUCAGAGAGCAAGGUUGGGGUUUGGAGAGAAUCGGGUGUAGAGAAGUUGAUGAAGCUCUCUCUUCACGGCAUAGCCACUAGUCCGGAUCUCCAUUUCGGACGAUACUAGCCUUUUUCUCAUCGGAAAUCCCUCAAAUCACCGCUUCCUACAUCGGAAAUCCCUAAGCUUCUCUCUCUCCUCAUCAUCUCUCUUCUCUCUUGUUCCUUUAUACUAGCUCCUCACCUCUUCUUCAACUCUGUUUCCACUUUCUCUCUACUCCAUUCAUUUGGAGACCCCUUUGCUGAUAUGGGUGCAAAUACUCCCGUGUUCUUCAGUCUUUAAUGGAACAAUAUGCUGUGAUAGGAGCAAUAUUCGUUUUGAUAUUUGUGUUAUGAAAGGGGAUGUUAGAACACACUCUGCUUCCUCUUCAAUCUUCCUUUACACCUCAAGAGACGAAUAAUUAUGGUGAUGAAGAGGGAGAUGAGGUAAUCCAGCAUGAAAAGAUCAAACCAUAUACAUGAAAAUGGGAAAAGGGUACUAUGGACACCAUUGAUGAAUUAGACCUUAUUGCAAAGAAAGAGCAUUUUGGUGUAAAUCAUCGUUAUGAUGUCCGGCAUGAUGUUCCAGCUGUGUUCCUAUGCAUGUGAUGUGUGGCUUAGUUAUAAACUUAUAAUUAUAUUUGUAAUGUACAGUCAAGAAGCAAGAGGCACACCAAGUAGAACUUAAUGAGUAGGUCAUGCUAUCUAAGGUUGUCGAAGAAUUUGAUCUUGAAGCAUACAAUUUGUGGGAAUUAUGUAUUAUGAAUUUAUGAUGAUGGGAAGAGUUGUUUCUUGUUAACAAAGUGUACAUUUCAACAAAACUAUUGUUAUAUGGCCUUGUGGUCAAAGU